GAUGAACGCUGGCGGCGUGCCUAAUACAUGCAAGUCGAGCGAACAGACGAGGAGCUUGCUCCUCUGACGUUAGCGGCGGACGGGUGAGUAACACGUGUAUAACCUACCUAUAAGACUGGGAUAACUUCGGGACACCGGAGCUAAUACCGGAUAAUAUAUUGAACCGCAUGGUUCAAUAGUGAAAGACGGUUUUGCUGUCUCUUAUAGAUGGAUCCGCGCCGCAUUAGCUAGUUGGUAAGGUAACGGCUUACCACGGCAACCAUGCGUAGCCGAACUGAGAGGGUGAUCGGCCACCCUGGAAGUGAGACACGGUCCAGAGUCCUACGGGAGGCAGCAGUAGGGAAUCUUCCGCAAUGGGCGAGAACCUGACGGAGCAACGCCGAGUGAGUGAUGAAGGUCUUCGGAUCGUAAAACUCUGUUAUUAGGGAAGAACAAAUGUGUAAGUAACUAUGCACGUCUUGACGGUACCUAAUCAGAAAGCAACGGCUAACUACGUG
rnacentral:rRNA from 1 species